AGAGUACGAGAGAGGAGAGUAGAAUUCUGGUGUAGCGGUGAAAUGCGUAGAUAUCAGAAGGAAUACCAAUGGCGAAGGCAGCUCUCUGGCUCGUCACUGACGCUGAGGUGCGAAAGCGUGGGUAGCAAACAGGAUUAGAUACCCUGGUAGUCCACGCCGUAAACGAUGAGAACUAGCCGUUGGGCAGAUUUAACUGUUCAGUGGCACAGCUAACGCAUUAAGUUCUCCGCCUGGGGAGUACGGCCGCAAGGCUAAAACUCAAAUGAAUUGACGGGGGCCCGCACAAGUGGUGGAGCAUGUGGUUUAAUUCGAUGCAACGCGAAGAACCUUACCAACCCUUGAAAUCUAGCGAAGUUCACAGAGAUGAGAAUGUGCCUUCGGGAACGCUAUGACAGGUGUUGCAUGGCUGUCGUCAGCUCGUGUCGUGAGAUGUAUGGUUAAGUCCAGUAACGAGCGCAACCCCUAUCCUUAUUUGCCAGCGCGUUAAGGCGGGAACUAUAGGGAGACUGCCGGGUGAAACCCGGAGGAAGGCGGGGACGAGGUCAAGUCAUCAUGGCCCUUAUGGGUUGGGCUACACACGUGCUACAAUGGGAAGUACAGAGGGAUGCUAAAGCGCGAGCUGGAGCCAAACCCUUAAAACUUUUCUUAGUCCGGAUUGGAGUCUGCAACUCGACUCCAUGAAGUCGGAAUCACUAGUAAUCGCGAAUCAGAAUGUCGCGGUGAAUACGUUCUCGGGCCUUGUACACACCGCCCGUCACAUCAUGGAAGUGGGUUGCACCAGAAGUGGUUAGUCUAACCUUCGGGAAGACGAUCACCACGGUGUGAUUCAUGACUGGGAUGAAGUCGUAACAAGGUAGCCCUAGGGGAACCUGGGGCUG
rnacentral:rRNA from 1 species